rnacentral:rRNA from 1 species
AUUCCAGCUCCAAUAGCGUAUAUUAAAGUUGUUGCAGUUAAAACGCUCGUAGUCGGAUUUCGGGGCCUGCCUGCCGGUCUGCCGAUGGGUAUGCACUGGCAGGCGCGUCCUUCCUUCCGGAGACUGUCCCUACUCUUAACUGAGCGGGGUCGGGAGACGGAUCGUUUACUUUGAAAAAAUCAGAGUGUUUCAAGCAGGCAGCUCGCUCUUGCAUGGAUUAGCAUGGGAUAAUGAAAUAGGACUUUGGUGCUAUUUUGUUGGUUUCGAACACCGAAGUAAUGAUUAAGAGGGACGAUUGGGGGCAUCCGUAUUUCGUUGUCAGAGGCGAAAUUCUUGGAUUUACGAAAGACGAACAACUGCGAAAGCACUUGCCAAGAGUGUUUUCAUCA